CAGCUUCAUUGGUAUAACAAGAUCUAGCACAAAAGCUUAUCUCAUAUAUUUUCUGCCGUUCCAGACUGGAAUCAGCCAUUUUACCAAGAAAGUUGGGUUUCUUUUACUGGCAAAUAGUACUUCAAGAGCACAGUCUUAUGUAAGAAGUACAGUCUAUAUAAAGACUGUCCAGGACAAAAACUGGCCACUCCAUUCAGCAUUGACAGCAGUAUUUAAAGCUGGUGCAUGGUGAGGUGAAGUUUCUCAAGGGCAAAGACAAUGCCUUCAUGCAUGUUCAGUGUCUGCCCCCGUGGGCUUUGAAAUGAUCGCUGACAAUGGGGGAUCUGCAGUGACUUCUCUGCCUCUGCCAAAGCCCAGGGGUGCUGCUCCCUAAUUCUAAGGAUUCUAAUGAGACUCAGAGCAGGUGUAACACAGGGCAUGGAGCUUCCUGAGCAAGAGGCUGGCUAACAAACUGUGGACGUGGUACUUAGACACAUUAAGAGACAUUACAGGGACACCUGCAAGUAUGUCUCCCUGGGGAGAAGCCAAGUGCAGAUGCUAUGGCCACAGAUGAUAUGGUUUGGCUCUGUGUCCCCACUCAAAUCUCAUCUCAAGUUGUAAUCCCUGGAUGUCGAGGGAGGGACCUGGUGGGAGGUGAUUGGAUUGGUUCGCAUGAUAGUGAGGGAGUUCUCACGAGAUCUGGUUGUUUGAUAAGUGUCUGGCAUUUCUCCUGUGCUGUCUCUCCUGCCACCUUGUGAAGAAGGUGCCUGCUUCUCCUUCGCCUUCCGCCAUGAUUGUAAGUUUCCUGAGGCCUCCCUAGCAAUGCAGAACUGUG
rnacentral:lncRNA from 10 species